AAAGCAAUGUAAAAGACGUAGAACCAAACUACUGAGGGUGGCACAUUCAGUCCUGGGAGAGGGACAGAGAAAACAGGUGGGGCAUUCACGGUGGUCCCUGGAGCUUCAGCCACUCCAGAGGGUUCUGGAAGGCUCCAUUGCCCACUCUCCUCUUUCCACACCCCCACCUCCACAACCUGUACUCCUCUCUGCCAGGAGCCUUGUCCUAGGCUUCAGGGUGGGAGAAGUCUCCGGUCCUGCCCCAUUCCCACGGCCUCACCCCACUGACCUCCUCACUACCUUUCCCCUCUCCAAAUCCGAAAAGGCUCUCCCAUUGCCAGGACACUGAAGAAUGGGAGACCCGCCAUACAGUCCUGUCCUCAAGGAGCCUGUGGCUCAGGGAGAGGAGAGAAGGUCAGAGCUGCGCAGAGCUGGCGGUGCUUCCCCAUGGGAUGCAAUGCUGGUAGCUUUAAACCAGCUACGGUAGAAGUAUUAACACCACAGAAGUCAAGAGAGGCCUUUUCUCUGCAGAGAGCUGAUUGUUAAACAUUGACCAGCACACGUCUGCUGACACACCUGCGGCUUCUCCUGCUGUGGGUGGUCCUGAGGGCAGUGUUAGCUGGAGCUGCCUGAGGAAGCUUCAGAGGCAGAUGGAGUCUCGCUCUGUUGUCCAGGCUGGAGUGCAGUGGGGCGAUCUCGGCUCACUGCAACCUCUGCCUCCUGGGUUCAAGUGAUUCUCCUGCCUCAGCCUCCCAAGUAGCGGGGACUACAGCACUGCAAUGAAUGCUGCUGCACACGCUGUUGAGCUCGUGGACACUUUCCUGCUGGGUGAGGACCCGAACGUGAAAUUGCUGGGUCAUGGAUUCAAGUGCUACACAUAUUUUUGACCACAUUACUGUGACUCAGGAAGCCCAGGAACAGAAUUCUAGGCACCAGAACCAUACAUGUUACAGCCUCUGAGCUUUAUGGCCUCUGAGCCAUUUGUCCAGCCACAUCAUUUGCAGAUGAGAUCCUGAGACUCAGGCUGGAAAAGUGACCGGGGAAAAGUCACACAAGUCAGAGGCAGAGCUGGAGUUUCCUCAUUUCCAGGCCCGUAUAGAUCAAGACGGACGUUGGUCAAACACCUCCUAGUACUCACAUGAAGAAGCUCUCCUUUCUGCUGUAGGAAUGAUCACACACCAUUCCAAUCUGGAUACCAAAUGUCAUUGUUUAUUAAAUGUGUGCAGUGUGCCAGGCAUAUUGUGUCAUAUGUUUACAUGUGUCAUAUAUUUACAUUACAUAUGAUCGCUGGUUCUUACAACAACCCUUCAAGACAGGUCAUAUCAAGCCCAUUUUUCAGACGGGAAAAAGAGCUCAGAGGGGAUGAUUAGCUUGUUCAGGUUUUCCAGUUUCCUUAGGAAGUGGCAGAGCUGGAUCUGAACUCUGCUUGUGACUACUUGGGGGAUGGAGGAGUGAACUCCUUUUUAUCAGAUCCUGGCUGCUUCGGCACCAGAAGAAUGCUUCUUCCCCC
rnacentral:lncRNA from 1 species